rnacentral:rRNA from 1 species
CUUAUGCAUGCAAGUCGAGCGAAGCUUUUCAGUAGUUUACUACAGAAAAUGACUGAGCGGCGAACGGGUGAGUAACGCGUGAGCAAUCUACCUUAGUUACAGGGAUAGCCCGAGGAAACUCGGAUUAAUACCUGAUAUUCUUUAUAUUUCGCAUGAAAUUAAAAGGAAAGGUCAGCCGAACUAAGAUGAGCUCGCGUUCUAUCAGCUAGUUGGUGAGGUAAAAGCUCACCAAGGCUACGACGGAUAGCUGGUCUGAGAGGACGAUCAGCCACACUGGGACUGAGACACGGCCCAGACUCCUACGGGAGGCUGCAGCAGGGAAUAUUGUGCAAUGAACGAAAGUUUGACACAGCGACACCGCGUGUGGGAUGACGGAUCUAGGUUUGUAAACCACUUUCAGGAGGGAAGAAAAUGACGGUACCUCCACAAGAAGCCCCGGCCAACUACGUGCCAGCAGCCGCGGUAAUACGUAGGGGGCGAGCGUUGUCCGGAUUUAUUGGGCGUAAAGAGCUCGUAGGCGGUUCAACAAGUCGUUCGUGAAAGUUCAGGGCUCAACCCUGAAAUGUCGAUCGAUACUGUUGUGACUAGGAUACGGUAGAGGUGAGUGGAAUUCCGAGUGUAGCGGUGAAAUGCGUAGAUAUUCGGAGGAACACCAAUUGCGAAGGCAGCUCACUGGGCCGCUAUCGACGCUGAGGAGCGAAAGCUAGGGGAGCAAACAGGAUUAGAUACCCUGGUAGUCCUAGCUGUAAACGAUGGAUACUAGACGUAGGAACUGGAUUGACGGUUUCUGUGUCGCAGCUAACGCGUUAAGUAUCUCGCCUGGGGAGUACGGUCGCAAGACUAAAACUCAAAGGAAUUGACGGGACCCCGCACAAGCGGCGGAGUAUGCGGCUUAAUUCGAUGAUACCCGUAGAACCUUACCUGGGACUUGACAUAUAGGGUCUAGCUAUAGA